rnacentral:rRNA from 1 species
AACGCGAAGAACCUUACCUGGGUUUGACAUGGAUCGGGAGUGCUCAGAGAUGGGUGUGCCUCUUUUGGGGUCGGUUCACAGGUGGUGCAUGGCUGUCGUCAGCUCGUGUCGUGAGAUGUUGGGUUAAGUCCCGCAACGAGCGCAACCCUUGUUCACUGUUGCCAGCACGUUAUGGUGGGGACUCAGUGGAGACCGCCGGGGUCAACUCGGAGGAAGGUGGGGAUGACGUCAAGUCAUCAUGCCCCUUAUGUCCAGGGCUUCACGCAUGCUACAAUGGCUGGUACAGAGAGUGGCGAGCCUGUGAGGGUGAGCGAAUCUCGGAAAGCCGGUCUCAGUUCGGAUUGGGGUCUGCAACUCGACCUCAUGAAGUCGGAGUCGCUAGUAAUCGCAG